rnacentral:rRNA from 1 species
GACGAACGCUGGCGGCGUGCUUAACACAUGCAAGUCGAACGAGGUCCACUGCGUAGCAAUACAAGGGAAGACCUAGUGGCGAACGGGUGCGUAACACGUGAGGAACUUGUCCCGGUCUCUGGGAUAACAGUUGGAAACGACUGCUAAUACCGGAUGACGUCGGAAUCUCGCAUGGGAUACUGACGAAAGGGUUACUGGAUCGGGAGAGCCUCGCGGCCUAUCAGCUUGUUGGUGAGGUAACGGCUCACCAAGGCAUCGACGGGUAGCUGGUCUGAGAGGAUGAUCAGCCACACUGGGACUGAGACACGGCCCAGACUCCUACGGGAGGCAGCAGUGGGGAAUCUUGCGCAAUGGGCGAAAGCCUGACGCAGCGACGCCGCGUGCGGGAAGAAGGCCCUCGGGUUGUAAACCGCUUUCAGUAGGAACGAAAAUGACGGUACCUGCAGAAGAAGGUGCGGCCAACUACGUGCCAGCAGCCGCGGUAAU